CCUGUUGGUCUUAGAAAUCGGGCCACAAAACCGGCUUGUGAGGUGAGAAUUGCCCCCACUAAUAAACACGUGUUCAGGUCAUCAUUUGUCCGAUGUUAGACUCUUUAACACACACCCUCACGACCAACACUAUUGGCCUUGGUUCGUGGACAUAAAUGGUGGGUGGCCCAAUAGCGGAAAAAGAUAAUAGAAACCACUUCGAGGAGUCUCCAACAUCACCCAAUACAUUGUUAUUAUUAGCCUGUUGGUCUUAGAAAUCGGGCCACAAAACCGGCUUGUGUGGUGAGGAUUGCCCCCACUAAUAAACACGUGUUCAGGCCAUCAUUUGUCUGAUGUUAGACUCUUUAACACACACCCUCACGACCAACACUAUUGGGCUUGGCUCGUGGACAUAAAUGGUGGGUGACCCAAUAGCAGAAAAAGAUAAUAGAAACCACUUCGAGGAGUCUCCAACAUCACCCAAUACAUUGUUAUUCAGCUCAUUAGCACCAAAUACAUUGUUAUUCAACUCAUUAUCCUGUUGGUCUUAGAAAUCGGGCCACAAAACCGGCUUGUGAGGUGAGGAUUGCCCCCACUAAUAAACACGUGUUCAGGCCAUCAUUUAUCCGAUGUUCGACUCUUUAACACCCCCCUCACGACCAGCAAUAUUGGGCUUGGUUCGUGUACAUAAAUGGUGGGUGGCCCAAUAGCGGAAACUUGAUAGCGGGUGGCCCAAUGGAUCUUGGAGAGGCUAUGAUACCAUCUUAAAAAUCGUGGUUAGGCCUAACACAAUUCCACAAAACCAGCUUGUGAGGUGAGGAUUGCCCCCAUUAAUAAACACAUGUUCAGGCCAUCAUUUGUCCGAUGUGGGACUCUUUAACAGUUGGAAAUAGUCAGGUUAUGUUUAGAUAGGGGAUUAGGCAGUAGUGUACACAAAUAAGAGGAAGGGUUAGGACAGGGAUUUGUUAUCAUAUGAAAAGAAAUAGGGAUCUUGGCGCUAGGGAGGUUGCAGACCUCAAAGAUCUGCACUAUUGUAAUUAAGAUUUUUCUUGAUAAGGAUCAUAAUUUACCAAGUUCCUAACAUCGUCCUAAGAAAGUGCUACGGAUCCACGCGAACUAUUGAACAAUAAAUCAACAUAUUCUAAAACGCUGAAAAACAGCAAGUGAAAUACACCAAACCCAACAAAACACAGUUGAAGGUGCUGGAAAACACCAACUGCAUCUCUCUGAACUUAAUUCAACUCACAUAGUGCAGGAAAGGCACUAGCCUCAGAAAACAGCCUACACAAAACUUACACAAUGGCUGGCCAAAGUCACAAGAAACAGGGACAACUCCAGCUCUAC
rnacentral:lncRNA from 1 species